UCUGGACCCGAGCGAAACAGAAUCUGAGUUUCCAAGUAAUUAUUUGAUUUUUCCAUUAGAAGCUACACUACUCAUCAAGCCCAACAGACUCGGAUGGGCCAAUGUUGGUGGUCUGGUAACUGUAGUUGCUACCUACCACCGAGGGCCUAGGAGGAACAGGAGUGGGUGCAGGCAGACCUGAGGCCCAAUGCAAGCUUGAUAGCUUGUGGAAUCAUGUGACCUGCCAAAAGGAUCGUCACCUAAAAUCUGAGUUCCUGACUUCAAAAUGGGGUAAGUGUGGAUGCCAGACAACGUAGAUCACAAAUUACUAACUAGCCGUGUAUAAUUGGCCAACGCGUUGGACUAUG